rnacentral:rRNA from 1 species
AUUGAACGCUGGCGGCAGGCCUAACACAUGCAAGUCGAACGGCAGCACAGAAGAGCUUGCUCUUUGGGUGGCGAGUGGCGGACGGGUGAGUAAUGUCUGGGAAACUGCCCGAUGGAGGGGGAUAACUACUGGAAACGGUAGCUAAUACCGCAUAACGUCGCGAGACCAAAGUGGGGGACCUUCGGGCCUCACACCAUCGGAUGUGCCCAGAUGGGAUUAGCUAGUAGGUGGGGUAAUGGCUCACCUAGGCGACGAUCCCUAGCUGGUCUGGGAGGAUGACCAGCCAAACUGGAGAUGAGACACAGUCCAGACUCCUACGGGAGGAAGAAGUGGGGUAUAUUGAACAAUGGGCGCAAGCCUGAUGCAGCCAUGCCGCGUGUAUGAAGAAGGCCUUCUGGUUGUAAAGUACUUUCAGCGGUGAGUAAGGCGGUGAGGUUAAUAACCUUGCCGAUUGACGUUACCCGCAGAAGAAGCACCGGCUAACUCCGUGCCAGCCGCCGCGGUAA